rnacentral:rRNA from 1 species
GUUAAAGAAGAACUACGUAUGAGAGUAACUGUUCAUACGUUGACGGUAUUUAACCAGAAAGUCACGGCUAACUACGUGCCAGCAGCCGCGGUAAUACGUAGGUGGCAAGCGUUAUCCGGAUUUAUUGGGCGUAAAGAGAGUGCAGGCGGUUUUCUAAGUCUGAUGUGAAAGCCUUCGGCUUAACCCGGAGAAGUGCAUCGGAAACUGGAUAACUUGAGUGCAGAAGAGGGUAGUGGAACUCCAUGUGUAGCGGUGGAAUGCGUAGAUAUAUGGAAGAACACCAGUGGCGAAGGCGGCUACCUGGUCUGCAACUGACGCUGAGACUCGAAAGCAUGGGUAGCGAACAGGAUUAGAUACCCUGGUAG